rnacentral:tRNA from 1 species
GAGAAGCCUGAAAUAACAGCAACUGACUUUUAAUCAGUAGGUCUCCGGUUCGAACCCGGACGGGCUCACCA